GUCUAGGCGGUCAGGAUACAGG
rnacentral:misc_RNA from 1 species